rnacentral:rRNA from 1 species
UACCAGCACCCCGAGUGGUCGGGACGAUUAUUGGGCCUAAAGCAUCCGUAGCCGGUUCUACAAGUCUUCCGUUAAAUCCACCUGCUUAACAGGUGGGCUGCGGAGGAUACUAUAGAGCUAGGAGGCGGGAGAGGCAAGCGGUACUUAGUGGGUAGGGGUAAAAUCCGUUGAUCCAUUGAAGACCACCAGUGGCGAAGGCGGCUUGCCAGAACGCACUCGACGGUGAGGGAUGAAAGCUGGGGGAGCAAACAGG